GACGAACGCUGGCGGCGUGCUUAACACAUGCAAGUCGAACGGAAAGGCCCUGCUUUUGUGGGGUGCUCGAGUGGCGAACGGGUGAGUAACACGUGAGUAACCUGCCCUUGACUUUGGGAUAACUUCAGGAAACUGGGGCUAAUACCGGAUAGGAGCUCCUGCUGCAUGGUGGGGGUUGGAAAGUUUCGGCGGUUGGGGAUGGACUCGCGGCUUAUCAGCUUGUUGGUGGGGUAGUGGCUUACCAAGGCUUUGACGGGUAGCCGGCCUGAGAGGGUGACCGGCCACAUUGGGACUGAGAUACGGCCCAGACUCCUACGGGAGGCAGCAGUGGGGAAUAUUGCACAAUGGGCGGAAGCCUGAUGCAGCAACGCCGCGUGCGGGAUGACGGCCUUCGGGUUGGAAACCGCUUUCGCCUGUGACGAAGCGUGAGUGACGGUAGUGGGGAAAGAAGCACCGGCUAACUACGU
rnacentral:rRNA from 1 species